rnacentral:rRNA from 1 species
CCCUAGUAACGGCGAGUGAAGCGGGAUGAGCUCAAGCUUAAAAUCUCUGACACAUAUUUAUUAUGUGCGGCGAAUUGUAGUCUAUAGAGGCGUGGUCAGUGUAGGCACUUGAGAUAAGUUCCUUGAAAGAGGACAGCAUGGAGGGUGAAACUCCCGUUCAUACUUGAGUUUUGCUUAUACGUACGGCCCGUUUUCUUUGAGUCGCGUUGUUUGAGAAUGCAGCGCAAAGUAGGUGGUAAAUUCCAUCUAAAGCUAAAUAUUGGUGCGAGACCGAUAGCGAACAAGUACCGUGAGGGAAAGAUGAAAAGAACUUUGAAAAGAGAGUUAAAGAGUACCUGAAACUGCUGAAAGGGAACCGGAUCGUUUCUAGUGUCUAUAAUCUGUGACAUAUUUCAUUGGCGAGUGUGUGCGUGUGUAUACUAUGGCAGCGGCUAUUUUUUUUGGCUGCGCUUGGUGUGCGUGCUGUAUGCGCUUACUGGUGCCCUGUGUUGCGGUGGGACGUCAAGGUCAGUUUGUAUGCUGCGGGAAAUGGCUACUGAGGAGGUAGGGCUUACGCUUGCGUUUGUCUAUUAUAUCUUGGUGGUUGUGUCGUGGUUGAGACUGAGGUGUUCUACAACGUGCUUUUGAGUGGGUCUGCGUCUCUGUGUGCACCGUGUGCGGAUAGCUUGCUAUGUGUGUGUGGUUGUGUGUGGAUUGAUGCGGGCUUUAACCUGUAGUCGUUCGGGACUUUGACGAAAUAGAGCGAUUUGACCCGUCUUGAAACACGGACCAAGGAGUCUAACAUAUGUGCAAGUGUUAGGGUGUGGAAACCCCAGCGCGAAAUGAAAGUAAAGGAUAGUGAAAACUGUCUUAGGUAGGAAACGUUGCGGAUUUCGGUCUGUGGCGUGGCACUAUCGACCGAUCAUGAACCUUCGUGGUGAAAGAUUUGAGUUUGAGCACAUAUGUUGGUACCCGAAAGAUGGUGAACUAUGCCUGAGUAGGGUGAAGC